UACAGAGGUCCCAAGCGUUGUUCGGAUUUAUUGGGCGUAAAGGGUGCGUAGGCGGCGGAGUAAGUUGGGUGUGAAAUCCCGGGGCUCAACCUCGGAAUUGCAUUCAAUACUGGUUCGCUUGAGCACUGGAGAGGAGGCUGGAAUUUACGGUGUAGCAGUGAAAUGCGUAGAUAUCGUAAGGAAGGCCGGUGGCGAAAGCGAGCCUCUGGACAGUUGCUGACGCUGAUGCACGAAGGCCAGGGGAGCAAACGGG
rnacentral:rRNA from 1 species